rnacentral:pre_miRNA from 1 species
AAACCGUUACCAUUACUGAGCUUUAGUAAUGGUAAGGGUUAUG